GUUUCCUUUAUUAGGUCAAACCAUCUCAUAUUAGGACAGCAGCAAUCUAACUAAUCUCAAAAUCAUGCCAUUUUGAAGCAACUGCCAACUACUUCCUUGACUUUUUCUGUUGACUCCACAUCAUAUUUACUGUUCUUUCACAGCAAUGUUUCUAGAACAUGAAAAACAGAAGCUAGAGAACUGGCAUUCAAAAGGAAGAAAGAGACAUAGUUCCCCCCAUCCUGGAACCAAUUUUUGCAAAGGGAAUCCUAUGAAGGAAUCCUAGGUUGUCCUGGAACACAGCUAUGCUUUUUUAUGAGCACUGUCACCCAUAAUAGAGUUUUGCACUUUUUGACAAAUUUAUGAUUUUAGCCCUGUGUGAUUUUUGAGAUACAUAUGAACAGCAUUAGUGAUGGUUCAAAACCAAACUCUGCAAAUAGAAUUUCUGAGUUAUAGCCCAAUCAGUCUGCUACUGAACUGACCCAGAGAAGUACUACUUAGUAGGAGAAAGACUGACAAACUGAAAAUAAGAACUUCCAGACUGGGCCAUCAAUGGGGUUACCAAUCUCUAGGUGGUAGUUGAAGAGCUCCUGCUAUUUCAGUGGAUCUCCAGGUGGCAGAGAUCAAUGCACCUAGAGAAAACUGAUACUUUGGAAGUUAGACUCUAAUGGCAAUGAAGUCCCUCCCUUCAUAGCAUUGAAAUCCCAUGCCUUUCCAAGGGGUUUGCUUUUAUGGCUUACUAGGAUUUAUUGUAUUGA